CAGCUGCUCUGCUUUUGUACCCUGCUCUAGGAGGAGGAGGUGGAUGUGGAGUAGGAGGUUGAGGAGGCGGUGACCAUGGCGGGACUGAUGCAUUCGGAUGUCUGCCCUAUCAACUUUCGAUGUUACUAUCUGCUCCUACCAUGGUGACCAUGGGUAAUGGGGAAUCAGGGUUCGAUUCCGCAGAGGGAGCCUGAGAUACGGCUAUCACAUCCAAGGAAGGCAGCAGGCGUUCAAAUAACCCACUCCUGACGCAGGGAGGUAGUGA